GUGGGGAAUAUUGCGCAAUGGGGGAAACCCUGACGCAGCCACGCCGCGUGGGUGAUGAAGGCCUUCGGGUUGUAAAGCCCUGUCGGGAGGGACGAAGUUCUGACGGUACCUCCCAAGAAAGCACCGGCUAACUCCGUGCCAGCAGCCGCGGUAAUACGGAGGGUGCGAGCGUUGCUCGGAAUCACUGGGCGUAAAGCGUACGCAGGCUGUCGUACAAGUCGGGUGUGAAAGCCCGGGGCUCAACCCCGGAACUGCGCCCGAGACUGUAUGACUUGAAUGCGGGAGAGGGAAGCGGAAUUCCUGGUGUAGAGGUGAAAUUCGUAGAUAUCAGGAGGAACACCAGUGGCGAAAGCGGCUUCCUGGCCCGACAUUGACGCUCAUGUACGAAAGCGCGGGGAGCAAACAGGAUUAGAUACCCUAGUAGUCC
rnacentral:rRNA from 1 species